rnacentral:lncRNA from 1 species
CUUUUUCUGUCCUCCAAUAUCAUCAGAUUCCAUUAUCUGCUUCCUGCAAACUCAGUAGAUGGAACAUCCCAUUGUCUCUUAUAAACGUGUCCCAUGGAGAUGUCAUACAGCAGAUUGUCGAGGAGUUUGUUUGAGCUUGAGGAUUCCCCGUAGACAACUAUGUCAUCAGGCCAGAAAGGAAAUAUAUCAUCUUCUUCUCGCCAAGAGACAUGUUCAGCUACAAUCUACAUUGGAAACAAGUCUAUCACUACCAAUAACCAAGUGGAACAUGAAC